rnacentral:rRNA from 1 species
AGGUAGUAAUCUUUUUGAAUUUAAACCUUUUUAAUACGGCGGCAUUUUACUUUUAUAGAGGAACUUGUUUCCUAAUCGAUAAUACCCGUUAAAUUUAACUUAAUCACACAAUUUAUAUACCGCCAUAAAGAACCAAUUACCAAUCAAUUCUAAAUAUAAUAUAAAAUUUUAGGUAAAGGUGUAAUCAACCAUUAAGAAGAAAUGAGUUACAAUUAAUAUAAUUUAUGGAUUAUAUAAUAAAUUUUUUAAAUAAAAAGGAUUUAAUUGUAAAAAUUAAUUAUAAUUAACUUUGAAUAAAGAAAAAAAUGUGU